AGCAGCCGCGGUAAUUCCAGCUCCAAUAGCGUAUAUUAAAGUUGUUGCAGUUAAAAAGCUCGUAGUUGAACUUCGGAAUUUGCCCAUUGGUCAGGCUUAACUGUCUGAACUGGUGUGACGAGUUCCUACCUUCUGAGGAAUCUUCAUGCCAUUCAGUUGGUGUGGGGGGAAAUCAGGACUGUUACUUUGAAAAAAUUAGAGUGUUUAAAGCAGGCAUCCGUCUGAAUACAUUAGCAUGGAAUAAUAAAAUAGGACGGUUUGGUUCUAUUUUGUUGGUUUCUAGGAUCACCGUAAUGAUUAAUAGGGAUAGUUGGGGGCAUUAGUAUUCAAUUGUCAGAGGUGAAAUUCUUGGAUUUAUUGAAGACUAACUACUGCGAAAGCAUUUGCCAAGGAUGUUUUCAUUAAUCAAGAACGAAAGUUAGGGGAUCGAAGACGAUCAGAUACCGUCGU
rnacentral:rRNA from 1 species